rnacentral:rRNA from 1 species
GCGAGAAAGGGGCUUCGGCUCCGAGUACAGCGGCGCACGGGUGAGUAACACGUGGGUAAUCUGCCCUAGAGUGGGGAAUAACACCGGGAAACCGGUGCUAAUACCGCAUACGAUCACGAUGUCUUCGGAUGUUGUGAUGAAAGGAGCAAUUCGCUCUUGGAGGAGCCCGCGGCUGAUUAGCUAGUUGGUGAGGUAAUGGCUCACCAAGGCUGCGAUCAGUAGCCGGUCUGAGAGGACGGUCGGCCACACUGGAACUGAGACACGGUCCAGACUCCUACGGGAGGCAGCAGUGGGGAAUUUUUCGCAAUGGGGGAAACCCUGACGAAGCAACGCCGCGUGGGUGAUGAAGUCUCUUGGGACGUAAAACCCUUUCGACGGGGAAGAAACCGCAAGGUUGACGGUACCCGUAGAAGAAGCCCCGGCUAACUCCGUGCCAGCAGCCGCGGUAAUACGGGGGGGGCAAGCGUUGUUCGGAAUUACUGGGCGUAAAGGGCGCGUAGGCGGUCUGUUAAGUUGAAUGUGGAAACUCUGGGCUUAACCCAGAGCCUGCAUUCAAUACUGGCAG